UACGAAGGGGGCUAGCGUUGCUCGGAAUUACUGGGCGUAAAGCGCACGUAGGCGGCUUUUUAAGUCGGAGGUGAAAUCCUGGAGCUCAACUCCAGAACUGCCUUCGAUACUGGAGAGCUUGAGUCCGGGAGAGGUGAGUGGAACUGCGAGUGUAGAGGUGAAAUUCGUAGAUAUUCGCAAGAACACCAGUGGCGAAGGCGGCUCACUGGCCCGGUACUGACGCUGAGGUGCGAAAGCGUGGGGAGCAAACGGG
rnacentral:rRNA from 1 species